GAGAGCGCCUCCGCGGUGGGACGGAGCCGGACUGGGCCGAGCGAGGGAGGCUCCUGAGCCUCGGAGGACCCCGGGGUUGGCUUUGGGAGCUGAAAGUUUCCUUGGACCCCUCGGAAGCCCCGUGACAUCAGAGGCCGGGCCUGGCAGGGGCAGGCAGGAAACGUGUCUGGAGGCUACUGCCCUCUCCGCGUGACCUUGGGCGAGCAGCCUCCUCCUGGGGCUCAGUGGGUGUGAUUUUGUAACAUUUCCCAGCGCUGCCACAGGCGCGUCUCGCCCUGUCCAACGCGGAGCCCGAAGAAUUACUAAGAAACCGAGGUCUGAAGGAGGGAAGAGGUGACGGGCUCGAGGCCACACGGUGGGCCAGGCUGGGCCCGGCUGCACGCCGGCUACCGGGGCCCAGCCCUCUGCACGCCUCCCGCAGCCUCAGUUUCCCUGUCCGUGGUACUGAGGAUGCUCGGGCCUAGAAGUUCAGGGCUGGAGGCCCAGGGACCGUCGAGGGAGGGGCAUCAUCCCCGCCAUGGGGCCGCCGCAACUGCCCAGAGCACAGGCCAAAGACCCCUGAGGCCCCCUCCUCCUUCAGAGCAUGCACGUCGCAAAUUCUCAAUGACUGUUUGGAGGAAUGAAUAAAUGAAUUGUGAACAAAUGGUCUGAAGAUUCCAGAGGUAGCCUAAUGGGGCCCUGCUGCUUGAGUUCUAAUCCCAGCCCCACCAGUUGUUGGCUAUUUGGCCCUGGGCAGGCUUCUGCCAUCACUCUGUGUGACUUCAACAUUCUACCUGCAUGACCUAUGCAGCACCUGGCCGCUGUUACCUUGCCACCCUCACUGACAUCUUCUCUGCAUAGGCCUUCCACCAUGCCCUGUACUUUCUCCCCACUAGAAAUAGCCCUGGCUCUGAAAUGUGUUUUAAUCAUCCCACUUUGGGUCCACCAGUUCCUAGCCUUUGAGCUUAGGCCUCUCCUCCAGGACCCUCCCUGGCUACGAUUUCCCAACCCCUCUCGACCUUCCAUUCACUGACCUUGCCACUUUCUUGCCUCUUGUCUGCACCUCUCCCCAUCCCUAGUGUGGAUUCCAUCCCCUUGUGAACGCUGCCACCCGUCCUGGCAGAGACUCAGUACUUCCACUCUCUGAAUGCAUUUCUUCUUCCUAGGCACACCAGAAGACUACAUUUCCUAGCCCCCCACCCCCUUGCAGUGUCUGGGACCAUGUGACUCCUUAAUUAGGUCACUUCUCUCUCCUGGGAGGCCCUCUCUGCCCUCUCUAAGUCUAACUAGUGGCAAAGGAUCUAAGGGAAGAAACCUGGCAGAGUUACUAGUCCCAAGAAGCCUGGGUCCCUGAAUCACCACAUGGAAGUCUACGCGCCCACCACCUGAAUGGACUAAGGAAGCUGCAGGAUGAAGACAACAGCAUCACAAGGAGGAAGCCAGGAUCCCUGUGUUACCACAAGGAGGAGAGAUGCCUAACCAAGACCGUCUGCAAGGAUUUUGUGUGAGCCAGAAGCAGAGCUGUAUGGUGUUCAGCCACUGAGAUUUGAGGGCUGUUUGUUACAGCAGUUGACCUAUCCUGACUGACACAUCACAUCAUUCCUUUCCCCACCAUGUGUCUAACAUGCUACCAAAUUGAAUUUUAAGUAAAUUAGUACUUAUAAAUUAAGUACAAAUGCUUUUCAAAUUCACAUGAAUCUUUGGUAAAUAAAACUGGUUGUAAAAUU
rnacentral:lncRNA from 1 species